UACGGAGGGUGCGAGCGUUGUUCGGAAUUACUGGGCGUAAAGCGCGCGCAGGCGGCUAUCCAAGUCAGUGGUGAAAGCCCGGAGCUCAACUCCGGAACUGCCAUUGAAACUGUUUAGCUUGAGGAUGAGAGAGGUGAGUGGAAUUCCCAGUGUAGAGGUGAAAUUCGUAGAUAUUGGGAAGAACACCGGUGGCGAAGGCGGCGCUCUGGACCGAGACUGACGCUGAGGCGCGAAAGCGUGGGGAGCAAACAGG
rnacentral:rRNA from 1 species